CUGAGACAGUGCCUCAUAGUGCCAUCUACAUGGAAUAUGAAGUCAAUCAGAAUGUCUCUAAAUCCUGGCUCUGUUGGGUUUUGGCUGUGUGACUUUGGGUAAGUUACUUAACCUCUCUGAGUCACAUUUUCCACCUGUGUUAAAGGAGGUAAUCACAGCAAAUGCAAAGGGUGGUGCUGGAUAUCAGGGUGGGCACCUGCUAAGUGAUGCUUUCUUCUGUUUAACGUUGUAAAAGAUGUAAAUGAGACGGUCCCCAAAUGAGGGUAGAUUUUACUCCCCUCUAGCUCAGGUGGCGCUUGUCGGGGAGAUCAAGCAGUUUCUGUUCCUCCCUAGUAAAAGCAGGAAGGCUUUCCUGGGCGGGGUCCUCUGAGUGCUGGAAGAGGGGGAGGGUGUCCACUCAGUGAGGAGGCAGGAGGGCAGUCUUGCACACACUGGGCACCUCUGGGCCUCCAGCACUGGAUGUCAGCUGUGCUUGUUGAAUGGAUGUGCUGCCCUCAAGCCCCAAAUCUGUUCUCUGCCCUUCUCUAUCCUCUCUGUGCCCUGGGACGCUGACCCUGGCAGUACCUCACCCAGUGUCUUUAUCUGGGCUCUCCCAAAAGCAGAGCCCCAGAAAGGAUGUGAGGGCAGCCUGUUUCUUGGGGAGCUUAUGGUGAAUGUGGAGCUCCCCAUGCAGGCCCCCCUUCCAGGAGGGACUGAUUGCCCCCCUGUUGGCUCCUUCAGGAUUUGCCUCAACUACAGAGACAGCAUGGAACACGCCCUCCUAGGCUGCCCACAUCCUCAUCUGCAUGGGGGCACAGAAGCCUGGCCAUUCAUCCCAUGGGAGACUCAGGACAUGCUCCCAGCAACCUGAUGGGCUGCCCAAGGCUUGGCUGAUCCUGCAUCCCUGCAUCACAUCUCAGCUUCUCCCUCUGCCCAAAUCUACUUCCUCCCCAUUCCUUUCACAGGCAUUGAUUCCCUGAUAAACACCUUGCACCCCAUAUUCCAUCUCAGAGUCUCCUUGCAGAGAACCCAACCUGUGGCAGAGCUGGUCUCAGGACUCGGAGCGAGGGAGCAGGGAAAGAGGACAGGAAAGCAGGGAGAGUCAAUUUAAGGGUAUGUUGUCUGAGACAAAGAUUCUGCUAGGACCUCUGAGAUGGGUACAAGAUGCCUGGAGCCAUUCACUGGGCAGUAUCUGUCCAUCAGCUCCCAGGCCCCACAGAACCGGAGCUGCCUGUGAGGGCUUUCACUGCCCUGCAUUUCUGGGCUUCACAUAUGCACUGGCUGAGAGGGCUCCCUGUCUUCAAGGACGAUCCUGAGCAGAAAGUGGGUGCACUUGAGGUGGCAUGCUGUUGCGAGAGUCUGAGCUUUAUGAGAAGCAGACCCAGGGGGCAUGGUGUGGGGCAUCCCAAAGGACCUGCCAUACAUUAGGUGCCUUGGUCUUGGGGAGGAGCCCUCGGGAGUUCUGAGGGUGGGAGAAGAGGUAGGUGGGGUUAAUCCUUUCCCAUUCCCUCCCUGCCUCAGCACCAUGGCUCAGGCAGUAGCGCUGCCAGCUCCUCCUGGGAUCAGAGUUAUGGCCCUGCUCCCCUUGUCCCUUCAGGCUGAGGAACAUAAGGGCUUCCCAUGGUUGCUGGUGUCUGAGUGCCUCAACCUCCCUUGCUGGUUCCUUUCCCCUGCCCACACCUUUGUCAAUAGUUCCCCCCACUGAAGUCUCUUUGGUUGAGCAGUUGGUGGGGAUGCUGACUGAUAAAGUGGUCUAGGCCACUGCUCACUGCUUAAAGCCUUGCUUCAGAGAGACCUUCCAGGGCCCUGCAGCUCCCCCUUCUCCAACCCCUCCAACCCCUCCAACCUUUCUCUCUCCCAGCUGGUCUGGGUUCCCUACGGCAUCUACUUGCUUUUGAAUCUAUUUCUUAUAGAUACAUGUGUGUCCUCCUCUUUCACAGCCUUACCUUUUCAUAUGGAGGAAGAAAAAACCCAUUUCUAUAAAGCUAUUAAAUGUUUUCCUUUCACAAACACCAGUUUUGUACAUCAGAAGCACUGCCUUUCAUGCCUAUUGAAUUCUCGGAAAUGGGCUUCGAGUGCCUAUUUCAGGAGUUGAAAUCUGAACAUCAGCUCUUUCUUCCUCUCUGCAUUCCUGCCACACAGUCCUAAUCCUCUCCAGUGUGAUGGAUCCCUCUGGCUGGGUAGAAGGGAGAUCAUUUAAAGGAAAUUUGAAAAAGAAAAGAAUAGUAUUCCAUUUCAAGAGAUUUUUCUCCUGACACAGUUAUUUUCAACAGGUGACAGGUAUUGAUACUGAUGAAAGAUUCUUGAGUGAAUACAAACCACUCCCCACCCCCAUCCCCAGCAUACAUUCUCUAGAAAUUCCAGAAUGCCCAGUGAGUGGAUUCAUUCCACAUAUAUUUAGUGCCUAACUACAUGCCAAGGAGCUGGGUGCUAAGAACAAAAAAGUAUGAUUCCUGCCCUCUGCCAUAGAGUUUGUGAUCUGUGUUGAUGCAUUAAAGAUUAAUCCAAUGAUUACACAAAAUGUGAUGUUGCAAUUUUGCCUUUGCACUUGCUGUUCCCUCUGCCUGGAAUGCUUGUCCCUGCAAGGUGUCUGCCUGGCUUCCUCCAUACUUCCUCUAGGCCUUUUCACAAUCAUCCCUCUUCACUUGUGGCCUUCUUGGCCACUCACUCUGUCAACAUUCCUGCUCUUUUUUUCUCUCUAGCAUACUUCUCUGUUUAUGGACCAUCCCUCCCAGAAUGUAAGCUUCAUAAGAAUACAGAUUUUUCUUUUCAUAAAAUCUUUUAUUGUUCUCUGCAGAGAACAAAAUUCCCAGAG
rnacentral:lncRNA from 1 species